GUCUAAGUACACACGGCCGGUACGGUGAAACUGCGAAUGGCUCGUUAAAUCAGUUAUGGUUCCUUUGGUCACGCCAACCCUUACUUGGAUAACUGUGGUAAUUCUAGAGCUAAUACAGGCUGACAAAGGGGGGAGGGAUAGCUCAGUGAUUUGAGCAUUGGCCCGCUAAACCCAGGGUUGUGAGUUCAAUCCUUGAGGGGGCCAUUUGGGGAUCUGGGGCAAAAAUUGGGGAUUGGUCCUGCUUUGAGCGGGGGGUUGGACUAGAUGACCUCCUGAGGUCCCUUCCAACCUUGAU
rnacentral:ncRNA from 1 species